rnacentral:rRNA from 1 species
UUACUCUUGGAUAGCCUUCCGAAAGGGAGAUUAAUACAAGAUGGUGUUUCAAUUUCGCAUGUAAAUGAAACUAAAGAUUUAU